rnacentral:lncRNA from 1 species
AUGAAUUCAGGGAGUGUGUUCUUCUUCACCAGAGGAAGGUCACUAGAGGUUGGAGUUCACUCGAACUGGUUCCACUGUAUAAUGAAUGAAGCCAGAGGGGAAGGUUUAUUGUGCCAAGGAUCUGCUUUGAAACGGCUUAACUCCCUGGAAACAAAGGCUGAAAUCCCAGCAGGUAUAGCGCACUGUUUGGAGGUAGAUAAACGGAUUUCUGGUGCAGGCCAUUUCGAUAGUGUGAGACCUUGAACAGAGAGGUGUAUUUUACUCUUUCUGAACAUCAGAAGAGACAGGAAUUUGUCUUUGAAAGCUUGACCAAAGUUUCCCUUUUCCCUGAUGUCGUGAGGUUCAUAUAAAGAGCUGUGGCAGUGCCCCUUAAACUUAGAGGUGGGCCGUGCUUCAGUAGGUCUGGUCAUACUUAUACCUGAAUUUCUUUAGACAGCCUCAGGGGGGGAAAUCCUUUUACAAAAAUGCAGAAAGCUAUCGGCAAUUAAAUACAAUGCGUGCACUCUCUUCUCUGAUUCCAUGUCUACCGUAUUUUUAUAUAUUUGUGUAGAAAGUAGUACCUGAAGAACAACAAUUUUCAAAGGAUUUGCAGAUUGUCUCACUGACACAUGGGAUAUGUGGUAAUGUCAGUAAUAAUUAGGGAGAUCAGGGAUGUCCUAAAAGACAGUAGAUAUAUUUUAAUACAUAAACUUAAUAAUAAAUAAUAGAUUAGGUGUUUUUGUUGUUAUUUAUUCGUUCAGUCACUUCCGACUCUUCGUGACCUCAUGGUCUAGCCCAUGUCAGAGCUUCCUGUCGGCCGUCACCACACCCACCUCCUUCAAGGUCAAGACAGUCACUUCAAGGAUACCAUCCAUCCACCUUGCCCUUGGUCGGUCCCUCUUCCUUUUCCUUUCAUUUUCCCCAGCAUCAUUAUCUUCUCCAAGCUUUCCUAUCUUCUCAUUAUGUGGCCAUAGUAAUUCAUAUCCUUCCCUCCAGUGAGCAGUUAGCCAUUAUUUCCUGGAGUAUGGACUAGUUGGAUCUUCUUGUGGUCCAAGGCACUCUCAGAAUUUUCAGGAAUCUGUAUAACGACCAAGUAGCAACAGUAAGAACAGAACACGGAACAACAGACUGGUUCAAGAUUGAGAAAGGAGUGUGGCAGGGAUGUAUACUCUCACCCUACCUAUUCAACUUGUAUGCAGAACACAUCAUGUGAUGUGCGGGGCUUGAGGAAUCCAAGGCUGGAGUUAAAAUUGCUGGAAGAUUAGGUGUAAAACAGAUCAAAUGACAGAUGUUGUGAACGACAACCCAAUAAGAUGUUUGCAGGAGCCAAGUUGGAGGGAAUUGAUAUGUGAUCCAAAUUUCCUUGCUUUUGGGGAGAUAGCCCUACCAUAACUUUUACUUUAAGAAGAAUUUAGAAACAUAUUUCACGUGAUUGGAAUGGCAAAGCAGAGCCAAGGAAUCAAAAGUCUAUCCCAAGUUUUACGAAAUGAUUGUGGAAUCUCUCAUGAUUCCAAAAACUCUGCUCAUGAGAAAAUGCUUUGGGGUUUUUAAUCAGAGUAUUUAAAUUGCACACUACAAACGCAUAUCUGUCAUUUGAAGAUAUCUCAGACUUCUUUUUUUCCUGUUGCAUUUUAACAUUCAUCUCACUAUGCCUUGCCUAUAAAAAAUUAGAAAGAUGAAAGUUUGAUGCAUAAAAAGAAUCUUAGGACAUAACCGUUACCUUAGCAACCUUGUCAUAGUCUUCAGUGGUCUAUGCUCAGCUUCAAAGCCCUUCCUGCACUAAGGAGGCAUUCGUAAUGAGAGCUAUCUGAAAUUUGGAAAUUGCUAAUGAACUGCCAAUUUAUCUGAUCAAAAUCUCAGGAAGCUCUCCCCCCCCCCCCUCCAAAGAAUUGCUAAUGUCGAAUUAUAACAGCAAAACCUUUCUUUGGAUGCAAUCUUAUUUCUUUGGUGUACAGCCAAAACCGAAAUGAUCACAACAUUGCGACAAUAAACUCACCCCGUUGUCUUUUUUCUGUGACCCUUAUAAAAACCUAGCCAUUAGCAUAAACUUUGUAGCCUGUCUCUAUGGUUGCAAAUAUCUCUUGUUUGGUUCUAACAGCCUCAUUGCUUUUAGUAUAAGUUCACUUUCAACUCCUGUCAUAAUUUUCAAUCUCCUUGCUUGACUUGAUUUUUCUUUUGUCCACUCACUCAAGUCACUUCUUUCUCUUUCACAUACUAAACAAAUUUGAUAUCCCUGUCAUAAUGAUCCAUCAACAUUAGAAAGUCCAUAUUUUCUGAGCGCCAGCAGCAAAGUGGUGUUAAAAUGAAUGCACCAGCAAUAGAAGCACAGAUGUUCUGGAAUGAAAACAACCACAACAAUAGCAAUAGAUAACUUGAAGACCCAACUAUUACAAGAACUGAAGAACUCAAUUCAAUUUUUAUUCUGAUAUGCAGACCACCUUUAUUUUCAGUGAGCAUCGCAUCAUUUUCCUUACCGGAAAAUCAGUAAAUCAUGUGAGACUGCGAAUGACGCAAAAAUAGCAUCUAGUCAAACAACAUUUUAUGGACCACACUGCAGCUAGCAGCACAAAGAUACACAAAGAUGCUAUGCCACGCAGCAUUUGUAAAGUAAUAGUUAACCACUCUGGCUUUUG